UGGGGAAUUUUGGACAAUGGGCGAAAGCCUGAUCCAGCAAUGCCGCGUGUGUGAAGAAGGCCUUCGGGUUGUAAAGCACUUUUGUCCGGAAAGAAAUCCUUGGCUCUAAUACAGUCGGGGGAUGACGGUACCGGAAGAAUAAGCACCGGCUAACUACGUGCCAGCAGCCGCGGUAAUACGUAGGGUGCAAGCGUUAAUCGGAAUUACUGGGCGUAAAGCGUGCGCAGGCGGUUUGCUAAGACCGAUGUGAAAUCCCCGGGCUCAACCUGGGAACUGCAUUGGUGACUGGCAGGCUAGAGUAUGGCAGAGGGGGGUAGAAUUCCACGUGUAGCAGUGAAAUGCGUAGAGAUGUGGAGGAAUACCGAUGGCGAAGGCAGCCCCCUGGGCCAAUACUGACGCUCAUGCACGAAAGCGUGGGGAGCAAACAGGAUUAGAUACCCUGGUAGUCCACGCCCUAAACGAUGUCAACUAGUUGUUGGGGAUUCAUUUCCUUAGUAACGUAGCUAACGCGUGAAGUUGACCGCCCGGGGAGUACGGUCGUC
rnacentral:rRNA from 1 species